rnacentral:rRNA from 1 species
GACGAACGCUGGCGGCGUGCUUAACACAUGCAAGUCGAACGAAGAGCGAUGGAAGCUUGCUUCUAUCAAUCUUAGUGGCGAACGGGUGAGUAACGCGUAAUCAACCUGCCCUUCAGAGGGGGACAACAGUUGGAAACGACUGCUAAUACCGCAUACGAUCUAAUCUCGGCAUCGAGGAUGGAUGAAAGGUGGCCUCUAUUUAUAAGCUAUCACUGAAGGAGGGGAUUGCGUCUGAUUAGCUAGUUGGAGGGGUAACGGCCCACCAAGGCGAUGAUCAGUAGCCGGUCUGAGAGGAUGAACGGCCACAUUGGGACUGAGACACGGCCCAGACUCCUACGGGAGGCAGCAGUGGGGAAUCUUCCGCAAUGGACGAAAGUCUGACGGAGCAACGCCGCGUGAGUGAUGGCGGCCUUCGGGUUGUAAAGCUCUGUUAAUCGGCUCGAAAGGCCUUCUUGCG